rnacentral:rRNA from 1 species
UACAGAGGGGGCAAGCGUUAUUCGGAAUUAUUGGGCGUAAAGGGCGCGUAGGCGGCUUUGUAAGUUAGAGGUGAAAGCCCGGGGCUCAACUCCGGAAUUGCCUUUAAGACUGCAUCGCUAGAAUUGUGGAGAGGUAAGUGGAAUUCCGAGUGUAGAGGUGAAAUUCGUAGAUAUUCGGAAGAACACCAGUGGCGAAGGCGACUUACUGGACACAUAUUGACGCUGAGGUGCGAAAGCGUGGGGAGCAAACAGG